rnacentral:rRNA from 1 species
UACGAAGGGGGCUAGCGUUGUUCGGAAUUACUGGGCGUAAAGCGUGCGCAGGCGGCUUCUCAAGUCAGGGGUGAAAGCCCAGAGCUCAACUCUGGAAUUGCCUUUGAGACUGAGUGGCUUGAGUACGAGAGAGGUGAGUGGAAUUCCCAGUGUAGAGGUGAAAUUCGUAGAUAUUAGGAAGAACACCGGUGGCGAAGGCGGCCCACUGGAUCGGUACUGACGCUGAGGUGCGAAAGCGUGGGGAGCAAACAGG